GAUGAAGAACGCAGCGAAAUGCGAUAAGUAGUGUGAAUUGCAGAAUUCAGUGAAUCAUCGAAUCUUUGAACGCACAUUGCGCCCCUUGGUAUCCCGAGGGGCAUGCCUGUUCGAGCGUCAUUUCACCACUCAAGCCUGGCUUGGUGUUGGGCGACGUCCUCUUUGGGGACGCGCCUCGAAACGCUCGGCGGGGUGGCACCGGCUUUAAGCGUAGCAGAAUCUUUCGCUUUGGAAGUCGGGGCCCCGUCUGCCGGAAGACCUGCUCGCAAGGUUGACCUCGGAUCAGGCAGGGAUACCCGCUGAACUUAAGCAUAUCAAUAAGCGGAGGA
rnacentral:misc_RNA from 1 species